rnacentral:rRNA from 1 species
GAUGAACGCUAGCUACAGGCUUAACACAUGCAAGUCGAGGGGAAACGGCAUUAAGUGCUUGCACUUUUUGGACGUCGACCGGCGCACGGGUGAGUAACGCGUAUCCAACCUUCCCAUGACUAAGGGAUAACCUGCCGAAAGGCAGACUAAUACCUUAUGGUCUUCACUGACGGCAUCAGAUGUGAAGUAAAGAUUUAUCGGUUAUGGAUGGGGAUGCGUCUGAUUAGCUUGUUGGCGGGGUAACGGCCCACCAAGGCAACGAUCAGUAGGGGUUCUGAGAGGAAGGUCCCCCACAUUGGAACUGAGACACGGUCCAAACUCCUACGGGAGGCAGCAGUGAGGAAUAUUGGUCAAUGGGCGAGAGCCUGAACCAGCCAAGUAGCGUGCAGGAGGACGGCCCUAUGGGUUGUAAACUGCUUUUGUAUGGGGAUAAAGUCAAUCACGUGUGAUUGUUUGCAGGUACCAUACGAAUAAGGACCGGCUAAUUCCGUG